GUGCAGCAGGCGCGAAACUUUACAAUGUGCGAAAGCACGAUAAGGGAACUCUGAGUGCCUCCUAAGGAGGCUGUUCAGGUGUCUAAAAGCACCUGAAGGAAGGGCUGGGUAAGACCGGUGCCAGCCGCCGCGGUAACACCGGCAGCCCAAGUGGUAGCCACGUUUAUUGGGUCUAAAGCGUCCGUAGCCGGCUGGGUAAGUUCCUUGGGAAAUUUGGCUGCUUAACAGUCAAGCUUUCAGGGAAUACUGCUCGGCUUGGGGACCGGGAGAGGUCAGAGGUACUCCAGGGGUAGGGGUGAAAUCCAUUAAAUCCUUGGGGGACCACCGGUAGCGAAGGCGUCUGACCAGACCGGGUCCGACGGUGAGGGACAAAGGCUAGGGGCGCGAACCGGAUUAGAUACCCGCGUAGU
rnacentral:rRNA from 1 species